UACGAAGGGGGCGAGCGUUGUUCGGAUUUACUGGGCGUAAAGGGCGCGUAGGCGGCGUUUUAAGUCGGGGGUGAAAGCCUGUGGCUCAACCACAGAAUGGCCUUCGAUACUGGGACGCUUGAGUAUGGUAGAGGUUGGUGGAACUGCGAGUGUAGAGGUGAAAUUCGUAGAUAUUCGCAAGAACACCGGUGGCGAAGGCGGCCAACUGGACCAUUACUGACGCUGAGGCGCGAAAGCGUGGGGAGCAAACAGG
rnacentral:rRNA from 1 species